UCAUGGUAAAGGUGCCAUUUGGAUGAAUGAUGUAAAUUGCUCUGGUUCAGAAAGCAAAUUACUGGAUUGUAAUUUCAAUAAUGUAACAUUUCAAUGUGAGCACUACUGGCAUGAUGUUGGUGUCCAUUGUUUUCUCAGCUGUUCAACAUAAGAUGAAGGUCGUUUGCGUAUUGCUGGAGGUUACGCUCUGCAGCAAGGACGACUGGAAAUUAAUUAUAAAGGUGAAUGGGGAACAGUUUGUGAUAAUCACUUUGAGGACAUUGAUGCAGAAGUAGCAUGUAGACAGCUCGGAUAUUGUUCUGGAAUCAUGCAACCCAGAUCGCUAAUACGGGAUGGUGUCGGGCCGAUAUGGUUGAAUGAUGUGAAAUGCUCUGGCUCUGAAAGUAAAUUACUGAAUUGUAACUUCAAUACAGACACAUCCAAAUGUCGUCAUUAUCAUGAUGUUGGCAUCAAUUGCUUUCUCAACUGUUCAACAGAAGAUGCAGGUGUCACACCGAAUGAGAACAUACGAAGUCCAACUAAUGGUAUUGAUGUUGUUGUUUUUGUUAUAGUUGGUGUUGUUGUUGUUAUAAUUGUUGCUGUUGUCGUGAUACUUAUCGUCUUGGGUCGACGUCGAUACUGUCCUUCAAGACCGGGAAGAUACUUUGAAGAACCUGAACAUCGAGAAAUGCCUGUGUUUAACAUAGAUCAGGAACAUGAAUAUGCCUAUAUAGAUCAGGAUGCUUUAAAUACAAUAAAUAUGAUUAAUACACGUUCAGAUUAAUUGGAGCUAAAUGCUUCUACGGGAGAACCAACAUAUGUUAUCAGCGAUCCUCCGCUUGAUACAUGUACAUGAUCAAAACAGUUUGCAAUC